GUUGUUAAUCAAAUAUAAUUUUGUAAUUGAUAUUCAUUAUUUUACGAUUUGCUGUCACAAAAGAGGGUAUGUGGUUACCUUUACAAACCAACCCUCACCCUAACACUUGUGUUGUUCUUCAUUGCUAUACGUUAAAGAACACAUUUUGCUUCUCAAACAAGAAAAUUAGGCUAAAGGAACUUCGUUUGGGCAAUUUCAAGUUUAACUGCAUCUUCAAACUUGUAAGUAACGUGAAUACAUACUAUCCAACCUAAAUGCAAAUAACAUGAAAACCAAUUUUUCAACCUAGAUGCAAAUAUUUUCAAAGGCUUGACAACGCUUCAACAAAAUUGAUGUAAGUAACAAAACAACCAACUUACCAACAUAAACGCAAAUGUCUUCAACGGU
rnacentral:lncRNA from 1 species